rnacentral:rRNA from 1 species
AACGAACGCUGGCGGCAGGCCUAACACAUGCAAGUCGAACGCUGUAGCAAAACAGAGUGGCAGACGGGUGAGUAACGCGUGGGAACGUGCCUUUCGGUUCGGAAUAACUCAGGGAAACUUGAGCUAAUACCGGAUACGCCCUUCGGGGGAAAGAUUUAUUGCCGAAAGAUCGGCCCGCGUCCGAUUAGCUAGUUGGUGUGGUAAUGGUGCACCAAGGCGACGAUCGGUAGCUGGUCUGAGAGGAUGAUCAGCCACACUGGGACUGAGACACGGCCCAGACUCCUACGGGAGGCAGCAGUGGGGAAUACUGGACAAUGGGCGCAAGCCUGAUCCAGCCACGCCGCGUGAGUGAUGAAGGCCCUAGGGUUGUAAAGCUCUUUCGCCAGGGACGAUAAUGACGGUACCUGGAUAAGAAGCCCCGGCUAACUUCGUGCCAGCCGCCGCUGUAAUAC